AAACAUAGCCUUUAGCAACAAAAGUAUUAAAGGUGACGCCUGCCCAGUGAUCUAUUAAACGGCCGCGGGAUCCUCCACCGUGCAAAGGUAGCAUAAUCACUUGUCUCCUAAAUAGGGACUAGUAUGAAUGGCCAAAUGAGGAUUUACCUGUCUCUUGUAGUUAAUCUAUGAAAUUAAUCUUUUAGUACAAAAGCUAAAAUAAUAUUAUAAGACGAAAAGACCCUGUGGAACUUUAGACAACAAACAAACUAUGUUUCCCUUGUCUUUAGUUGGGGCAACUUUGGAAAAAACUUCAACUUCCAAUAAUUCUUAAGGUGGACACACCAACAACAUUAAAUAUGACCCAGUAAUACUGAUCAAAGAAACAAGCUACCCCAGGGAUAACAGCGCCAUCCCCUCUUAGAGCCCCCAUCGAUGAGCGGGGUUUACGACCUCGAUGUUGGAUCAGGGCCCCCAAACAGUGCAGAAGCUGUUAACGGUUUGUUUGUUCAACAAUUAAUGCCCUACGUGAUCUGA
rnacentral:rRNA from 1 species